rnacentral:rRNA from 1 species
UACGGAGGGUGCAAGCGUUGCUCGGAAUCAUUGGGCGUAAAGCGUACGCAGGCUGUUCGUUAAGUCGGGUGUGAAAGCCCGGGGCUCAACCCCGGAAAUGCGCCCGAAACUGGCGAGCUUGAGUGCGGGAGAGGGAAGCGGAAUUCCUGGUGUAGAGGUGAAAUGCGUAGAUAUCUGGAGGAACACCGGUGGCGAAGGCGGCAUCCUGGACCGGCAUUGACGCUGAGGCGCGAAAGCCAGGGGAGCAAACGGG